UACGUAGGGUGCAAGCGUUGUCCGGAAUUAUUGGGCGUAAAGAGCGUGUAGGCGGCCAGAUAAGUCCGCUGUGAAAUCUCGAGGCUCAACUUCGAGCUGUCGGUGGAAACUGUCUGGCUAGAGUCCGGAAGAGGAGAAUGGAAUUCCUGGUGUAGCGGUGAAAUGCGCAGAUAUCAGGAAGAACACCCGUGGCGAAGGCGGUUCUCUGGGCCGGCACUGACGCUGAGGAGCGAAAGCGUGGGGGGCGAACAGG
rnacentral:rRNA from 1 species